AUUUGGAGGCGUUUCACAACCAUCUCCUAAUGUAUGUAAGCAAAAGAUUCAGUUACAUCCCACCUGUUUACGAGGCACGGAUACUGCUUGCUGCAUUGGACUACAAUCACCACUCACAUCGAGAAGUGAAGAGGAGAGCAGAUGGAUCGAUACAAUACCAUAAAAUAUUCAACAAAAAAUCAAGAUGCUGGAGGCUGUAUUCUUAAAAGGUGGCAAAAGACUACUCUACAUCCCAGAGAUCCAAACCAUGAUCGUCAACCAACGUUUGACAAGCAAGAAAGGUCUUCCUCGACGCUACAAGCUAAGGCCUGAGGAUCCAAGGCGUUACGGUUUGCUGUCCGGAGUCCCUGCACCAUCAACAGAGGAACUUCUACAACACCUACGGACUCAUGGUGAUGGUAAAACUUUGCCAAAGACAUAGGUGUUGGGGGAGGCAAGAGAAAACCCAAAACCUUCUUUAUUUUUGUUUCCUGUGUUUUUUUUUUGUUUGUUUGUUUUAAAAUAAAGAUAUAUUUUGGGGAAAUAAGGACUAAUAAUUUAAAAAUGUAUGUAAAAUG